rnacentral:rRNA from 1 species
UACGUAUGGAGCAAGCGUUAUCCGGAUUUACUGGGCGUAAAGGGAGCGUAGGCGGAAUAUCAAGUCAGCGGUAAAAAUUCGGGGCUCAACCCCGGCCCGCCGUUGAAACUGGCAGUCUCGAGUUGGAGAGAAGUAUGCGGAAUGCGCGGUGUAGCGGUGAAAUGCAUAGAUAUCGCGCAGAACUCCGAUUGCGAAGGCAGCUUACCAAGCUACUUCUGACGUUGAGGCACGAAAGCGUGGGGAGCAAACAGG